rnacentral:rRNA from 1 species
AGCAGCCGCGGUAAUUCCAGCUCCAAUAGCGUAUAUUAAAGUUGCUGCAGUUAAAAAGGCUCGUAGUUGAAUUUCGGGAUCAAUAUGUUGGUCGUGCCUCGGUACGUACUGGCAUUAUUGAUUUCUCCCUUCUGAAGAACCGCGAUGUCAUUAAUUUGGUGUCGUGGGGAAUCAGGACUGUUACUUUGAAAAAAUUAGAGUGUUUAAAGCAGGCGCACGCUUGAAUACAUUAGCAUGGAAUAAUGAAAUAGGACGUUUGAUUCUAUUUUGUUGGUUUCUAGGAUCGACGUAAUGAUUAAUAGGGAUAGUUGGGGGCAUUAGUAUUCAAUUGUCAGAGGUGAAAUUCUUGGAUUUAUUGAAGACUAACUACUGCGAAAGCAUUUGCCAAGGAUGUUUUCAUUAAUCAAGAACGAAAGUUAGGGGAUCGAAGACGAUCAGAUACCGUCGUAGUCUUAACCAUAAACUAUGCCGACUAGGGAUCGGAUGAUGUUAAUUUUUAAUGA